rnacentral:rRNA from 1 species
AUGAACGCUGGCGGCGUGCCUAAUACAUGCAAGUCGAGCGAACAGACGAGGAGCUUGCUCCUCUGACGUUAGCGGCGGACGGGUGAGUAACACGUGGAUAACCUACCUAUAAGACUGGGAUAACUUCGGGAAACCGGAGCUAAUACCGGAUAAUAUAUUGAACCGCAUGGUUCAAUAGUGAAAGACGGUUUUGCUGUCACUUAUAGAUGGAUCCGCGCCGCAUUAGCUAGUUGGUAAGGUAACGGCUUACCAAGGCAACGAUGCGUAGCCGACCUGAGAGGGUGAUCGGCCACACUGGAACUGAGACACGGUCCAGACUCCUACAGGAGGCAGCAGUAGGGAAUCUUCCGCAAUGGGCGAAAGCCUGACGGAGCAACGCCGCGUGAGUGAUGAAGGUCUUCGGAUCGUAAAACUCUGUUAUUAGGGAAGAACAAAUGUGUAAGUAACUAUGCACGUCUUGACGGUACCUAAUCAGAAAGCCACGGCUAACUACGUG